UGGAGAUAUCCCCAGAUAAUUAAGUGUUGGAUUCACUCUGCAAGGAAACUACCAAAACUCCCAAGGGGAAACUGAUUUUGUUUUUCAUCUGGUCAAGAUCCAUCUCAAGUGGAUGAGUCAUCAGACUGUGUGGAACGUUUGCAUCCAGCAGCUGAAGAAACCACAAGUGACCAGUGACCGACGACAGUGUUGACCCUAAAAAGAGUACUGGAUGUACCCGUGGUGCAAAUGAUCACCUGAAUUUCCGAACAUCAAAGUUGACAUUCGUCUAAAUAUUAUGGUUUAUGACAUUCACAUCGGCCUCAGCUACGUGGAACUGUUACAUUUCAAACAUCUAAGUGGCCGACAAUACAAGAGUUUUUCUGCUGUGAGAAGACUCGGAGGUUAUCAGAGAUUCUGCUGGAGGGUACAGCGGUUAUUGUAAGGAAACCGUGACUGACAGGGACUCAGCGAUGCAGAAAGAUCAAAGGCUGAAUCGGACUCCAUGGGGAGGAACUGACUGCAGUGACACAGGAGAUCUGAAGAAACAGCGGGGCUGGCUGGAAACGCAGCAUCACGUUCAUGCCCCAGCCUCCCGACACUGAGCCCUCACCUCAACAUCCAAUCCCAAGAGCACAUCAGCAUUAUUUCCACCUCUGGUAAAUGCAAUGUACAGCUUAAUGUAGGGGCAACAUUUAUAAGUAAUAUACUGGGGCCUUUAGGUUCAACACUGAUUCAAAGAGAAAUACAAAAGAUGACAUAAGGAGACCCAAUUUAAGGCCAAAUCAUUAAUUCAUCUGGUCUUAUCAGCCCUUGCUGUCGCAGUCGAAUGAAGGCAUUAGGGCGGCCGCUGCCGGGGCCUGACUUGCUUCAGAGGUAUCUGCGGCAGAAGAGUGCCAAGAUCAACGUCCUGCUCCAGAACAUCCAGUCCCUCAUCACCUAUCAAAAGACUGUCAGUCCACAGAAGGUCAAACCCAUGGAAAGAUGGCAGCUGCCAAUGAAACGGCAAGUCUGCCAAGAAGACCCCCUAAAACCGAGGAUGUCCUUGAAUGGCAGAUCCUCGUUUAUGUGACUC